GACGAACGCUGGCGGCGUGCUUAGCACAUGCAAGUCGAACGGAAAGGCCCUGCUUUUGUGGGGUGCUCGAGUGGCGAACGGGUGAGUAACACGUGAGUAACCUGCCCUUGACUUUGGGAUAACUUCAGGAAACUGGGGCUAAUACCGGAUAGGAGCUCCUGCUGCAUGGUGGGGGUUGGAAAGUUUCGGCGGUUGGGGAUGGACUCGCGGCUUAUCAGCUUGUUGGUGGGUAGUGGCUUACCAAGGCUUUGACGGGUAGCCGGCCUGAGAGGGUGACCGGCCACAUUGGGACUGAGAUACGGCCCAGACUCCUACGGGAGGCAGCAGUGGGGAAUAUUGCACAAUGGGCGGAAGCCUGAUGCAGCAACGCCGCGUGCGGGAUGACGGCCUUCGGGUUGUAAACCGCUUUCGCCUGUGACGAAGCGUGAGUGACGGUAAUGGGUAAAGAAGCACCGGCUAACUACGUG
rnacentral:rRNA from 1 species